AACUAACGCUGGCGGCGUGCCUAACACAUGCAAGUCGAACGAGAAAGUUGGCUUCGGCCGAUGAGUAAAGUGGCGCACGGGUGAGUAACGCGUGGAUAAUCUGCCCUUUAGUUUGGAAUAACGUACCGAAAGGUGCGCUAAUACCGGAUAAUACUGAAUGACUACUGUUGUUUAGUCAAAGAAGGCUUCUGUUUACAAGCUUUUGCUGAAGGAUGAGUCCGCGUACCAUUAGCUGGUUGGUGGGGUAAUGGCCUACCAAGGCUACGAUGGUUAGCUGGUCUGAGAGGAUGAUCAGCCACACUGGAACUGAGACACGGUCCAGACUCCUACGGGAGGCAGCAGUGAGGAAUAUUGCGCAAUGGGGGCAACCCUGACGCAGCAACGCCGCGUGAGUGAGGAAGGUUUUCGGACCGUAAAGCUCUGUCGAGCGGGAAGAAAUGUAUCAUGGCUAAUAUCCAUGAUACUUGACGGUACCGCUAAAGGAAGCACCGGCUAACUCCG
rnacentral:rRNA from 1 species